UGGGGAAUAUUGCACAAUGGGGGAAACCCUGAUGCAGCGACCCCCCGUGAGCGAAGAAGUAUUUCGGUAUGUAAACUUCUAUCAGCAGGGAAGAAAAUGACGGUACCUGACUAAGAAGCCCCGGCUAACUACGUGCCAGCAGCCGCGGUAAUACGUAGGUCACAAGCGUUGUCCGGAAUUACUGGGUGUAAAGGGAGCGCAGGCGGGAAGACAAGUUGGAAGUGAAAUCUAUGGGCUCAACCCAUAAACUGCUUUCAAAACUGUUUUUCUUGAGUAGUGCAGAGGUAGGCGGAAUUCCCGGUGUAGCGGUGGAAUGCGUAGAUAUCGGGAGGAACACCAGUGGCGAAGGCGGCCUACUGGGCACCAACUGACGCUGAGGCUCGAAAGUGUGGGUAGCAAACAGGAUUAGAUACCCUGGUAGUCCACACCGUAAACGAUGAUUACUAGGUGUUGGAGGAUUGACCCCUUCAGUGCCGCAGUUAACACAAUAAGUAAUCCACCUGGGGAGUACGACCGCAAGGUUGAAACUCAAAGGAAUUGACGGGGGCCCGCACAAGCAGUGGAGUAUGUGGUUUAAUUCGACGCAACGCGAAGAACCUUACCAAGUCUUGACAUCCUGCGACGGACAUAGAAAUAUGUCUUUCCUUCGGGACGCAGAGACAGGUGGUGCAUGGUUGUCGUCAGCUCGUGUCGUGAGAUGUUGGGUUAAGUCCCGCAACGAGCGCAACCCUUACUGUCAGUUACUACGCAAGAGGACUCUGGCAGGACUGCCGUUGACAAAACGGAGGAAGGUGGGGAUGACGUCAAAUCAUCAUGCCCUUUAUGACUUGGGCUACACACGUACUACAAUGGCGUUAAACAAAGAGAAGCAAGACCGCGAGGUGGAGCAAAACUCAGAAACAACGUCCCAGUUCGGACUGCAGGCUGCAACUCGCCUGCACGAAGUCGGAAUUGCUAGUAAUCGUGGAUCAGCAUGCCACGGUGAAUACGUUCCC
rnacentral:rRNA from 1 species